UUGACAGACUUAAGAUACAGAAGUCCUCUAUUUAUCCACAGAACAUAUACAGCACAGGCAGCAAUAGUGCACGUCCCCAAACUGACCCAUGGAAGUGCCUCAACCCCAUUCUGCAGAGACCACCUCAAAGAGGACAAUUCAGCUUUAGGCUCUUUCAGGGCUUAGCCUCU
rnacentral:sRNA from 1 species